AGCGAACGCUGGCGGCAUGCUUAACACAUGCAAGUCGCACGGGCAGCAAUGUCAGUGGCGGACGGGUGAGUAACGCGUAGGAACGUGUCCUGAGGUGGGGGACAACCCCGGGAAACUGGGGCUAAUACCGCAUAUGGGCUGAGGCCCAAAGCCGAGAGGCGCCUUUGGAGCGGCCUGCGUCCGAUUAGGUAGUUGGUGGGGUAAAGGCCUACCAAGCCUGCGAUCGGUAGCUGGUCUGAGAGGACGACCAGCCACACUGCGACUGAGACACGGCCCAGACUCCUACGGGAGGCAGCAGUGGGGAAUAUUGGACAAUGGGCGAAAGCCUGAUCCAGCAAUGCCGCGUGGGUGAAGAAGGUCUUCGGAUCGUAAAGCCCUUUCGACGGGGACGAUGAUGACGGUACCCGUAGAAGAAGCCCCGGCUAACUUCGUG
rnacentral:rRNA from 1 species